rnacentral:rRNA from 1 species
GACGAACGCUGGCGGCGCGCCUAACACAUGCAAGUCGAACGGAGCUGAGAGAAGCUUGCUUUUCUUAGCUUAGUGGCGAACGGGUGAGUAACGCGUGAGUAACCUGCCCUGGAGUGGGGGACAACAGUUGGAAACGACUGCUAAUACCGCAUAAGCCCACGAUCCGGCAUCGGAUUGAGGGAAAAGGAUUUAUUCGCUUCAGGAUGGACUCGCGUCCAAUUAGCUAGUUGGUGAGGUAACGGCCCACCAAGGCGACGAUUGGUAGCCGGACGGGGAGGUUGACCGGCCACAUUGGGACUGAGACACAGCCCAGACUCCGACGGGAGGCAGCAGUGGGGGAUAUUGCACAAUGGGGGAAACCCUGAUGCAGCGACGCCGCGUGGAGGAAGAAGGUUUUCGGAUUGUAAACUCCUGUCGUUAGGGACGAUAAUGACGGUACCUAACAAGAAAGCACCGGCUAACUACGUG